UUCAGGCAGGAUGUACCCAGUCAUCCACUGAAACGUAGGCAGAUGUUGCUAUAUGUGGUAUAACUUUCCAGAGGCCCUGAAUUACAGCAUCUGGUUCCUAAGGAUGACGAAGUCACUCUUUUUCUGCUUUUUCUCAAAAACAAAUAUCUACUUGGAUCGGGGAUGUGUUUUCAGAGAUGCCAGAUGGUACAUUGGCCUUGGUCGUCUUGAAUCUGCAGUGCUUCCUGAACGAUUUAAAUACUUAAAACUUGCGUAUUCCCCUUGACUAUAAUGAGCUGAAGCUUCUGAAGUUUUAAUAAAAUCUU